CGGGGGGCAAUCCGUAAAUUCGCGAAACGGGACAAAAACCGGUUCAUUCCUCGCCUUCGAAUUCGAGCCGCUCGACACUCUUUUAUCACUCCCACUCGAUCGCCAAAGUCGGGGCCAGAAGGAACCGCCUCUCUCUUUCUGCUUUCUUCCCUUUUCCUCUCUUCUCAGAACUUGGUAUGCAGUAAAUUGGCGGCUUUUAAUCAUUUUAGCGAUGAGUAUUGUCAGGGCCCGGGGUAGCUGCGUGGCCAUCCGUACUCUCUCUCCUUCUACAACCACCAACCGAUCUUGCGCUCACGGCUCUGCUUCUUCAGAUGAUGCAACUUGCGGGUCGCCAACUUGGAUUGGUAAGGGCCUCACUUGUGUUUGCUUCAAGCGAAAGGGAGCAUAUGAACGAAUUUGCAUUAACUUGACCCCUCAACAGGCAAAAAGAUUGAAGAGGUUGAAGGAUAGGAUGAAGGUUUAUUUUGAUGCUUCCAGGCCAGAACACCAGGAUGCUUUGAGAGCUCUAUGGUCUGCCACGUAUCCUGAUCGGGAGCUGAGUGGUUUAAUAUCUGAUCAAUGGAAAGAAAUGGGAUGGCAGGGAAGAGAUCCAUCUACUGAUUUCAGAGGAGCUGGAUUCCUUUCUCUGGAAAACCUAGUGUUCUUUGCGAAGACAUUUUCAAUAUCAUUUCAACAUUUGCUAAGAAAACAAGGAGGAAAACGAUCUGCUUGGGAGUAUCCAUUUGCUGUUGCUGGUGUAAAUAUCACAUUUAUGAUUAUGCAGAUGCUUGACCUUGAUGCCAUGAAACCUCGAACAUUUGUCAGACCAGUUUUCUUACAGAUUCUGUCAGAAAGCGAAUGGGCAUUUGACCUUCUCUAUUGUGUGGCUUUCGUGGUCAUGGACAAUCAAUGGCUACAUAGAAAUGCUACAUACAUGGAGUUCAAUGAUGUCUUGAAAUCUACUCGAGCUCAGGUAGAGAGAGAACUUCUAAUGGAUGACGUCUUACGGAUUGAAGACAUGCCUUCUUACAGCCUUCUCAUUUAGCAAUAACCUACUACAGUUUCAGGCUAGGCUGGUUCAGGCCACUGGUGUAUUUGAUAACAUUGAAGUUGUAAAGUCCCUUUCCUUUUCCUUUCAUCUACUCCCAUCUCCUCUCUUGCUAAGUUAAUUUGUGAUCCUGUUGUUUUGAUACAUGUCACAAUCUGAUGGGAAUACUCUGUCACGCCAACUACAACAUUCUGUUUUAAAGUUGUCCGAGGUGGGUGGACAUGCAGAGAGUUGUGAUACUGAUGAGUAAUUUUGUAUAUAUUUACAUUUUUUGAAGCCCCAUUUACGAAGUUCAAAGGGGCAGAACUAUCAACAGAAGCUAAGAUGUUGGGAGUUCUACACGAUAAAAUGGGAAAAGCUGCUGCAUCUUAAAACGAGGCAAAGAUAGCACAGAGAUUAUAGAAAAUAAACAACUACAAGCAGAAGAAUAGGGUGGGAAGAGAACUCAAAUCACAACUUAGAAUGCCAUCUGUGACAAUUAUAUUUCUAGGAAGAGAACAGAAAGGAAAUCAGUUCUUGAAGUCCCAGGAAGAGAUUCAUGAACAGGUUGCUAAAAAGUAACAGAGGUUAAAAAUCAAUCUAUUCGUGGUUGUCCAAUAUGAUCAUGACAGACGAGCAAUCAAAUUAAUGCUCCACAGCUGAGAGUUCUGUGAGCAAAAACAUGAUACGAUCCCAAGGAUAGAAGAGAACAAGAAUGCAUUUUAUACUGUGAAAAUCACUUGCACCACUCUGACAGAAACAAUUCUUCGUUUAUACAGUACAGAGAAUUCUUGUUGUAAUAAUGAUUCGUAAAUUUAUAUGCUCAGGGAAAGUAGUGUUAAACACCCCAUCAUGAUUCAACAGAUAUCCCUUGAACUCUUCAAAUUUUAUCAAAAGAAAGUUCAUCUUACUCA